GAUUAUAGGGCUUAUUGGAUCUA
rnacentral:siRNA from 1 species